rnacentral:rRNA from 1 species
UAAGCGGAGGAAAAGAACUAACAAGGAUUCCCCUAGUAACUGCGAGUGAAGCGGGAAAAGCUCAAAUUUGGAAUCUGGUGGUCUUUGGCCAUCCGAGUUGUAAUUUAGAGAAGCGUCUUCCGCGCUGGACCGUGCACAAGUCUCCUGGAAUGGAGCGUCAUAGAGGGUGAGAAUCCCGUCUUUGGCAUGGAAUCCCAGGGCUUCUGUGAUGCGCUCUCGACGAGUCGAGUUGUUUGGGAAUGCAGCUCAAAAUGGGUGGUGAACUCCAUCUAAAGCUAAAUAUUGGCGAGAGACCGAUAGCGAACAAGUACCGUGAGGGAAAGAUGAAAAGCACUUUGGAAAGAGAGUGAAACAGUACGUGAAAUUGUUGAAAGGGAAACGCUUGAAGUCAGUCGCGUCGACCGGGACUCAGCCUUGCCUCGGCUUGGUGUACUUCUCGGCUUGACGGGUCAGCAUCGAUUUCAAUCCUCGGAUAAUGGCAAGGGAAAGGUAGCACCUUUUUAGGUGUGUUAUAGUCCUCUGUCGCAUGCGAGGGUCGGGAUCGAGGAACUCAGCACGCACCUCAGGGUGUCGGGGCCUUGGCCCACGUUUACGUGCUUAGGAUGCUGGCGUAAUGGCUUUAAACGACC